GAGGGUAUUGCUCAGUGGUAGAGCUCAUGCUUAGCAUGCACGAGGUCGUGGGUUUAAUCCCCAGUACCUCUG
rfam:Camelus ferus unplaced genomic scaffold scaffold123644, whole genome shotgun sequence.